UUUCUUUAUUUUCUCAUUGUUUUUUAUACAACAGUUUUCUUUUUCUUCUUCUUGGUUUUAUUUAUUUUAUUUGUUUGCUACUCCCCGUUCUUAAAUAUAGUGUGUAUAGUUUUUGGCACGGAAAUUAAAGAAUGCUCGUGGCGGGAAAAUUUUACAAGUUUUGGAUGACAUUAAACCUAACUAAUUGACAUCAGAAAAUAGAGGAGUUUGCCUAUAUAAGGGCAUGUAAUCAAAUCCCUAAAAUAAAUAUCCAAACGAGUGGUGCAAUGCAAUACACCUUAUAUUUCAGAUUUUUUUUCUCAAAAAAUUAUACACCUUAUUGUAUCCACGACCGGAGGGAGUAUAUUUUUAUUUAUUUGUAAGCUUUUACCGAUUAUAUAUUUUCAAGAAAUCUCUACUUUUUCCUCGUACAAAAUGUACAUUUCUAGGGCACACGUCAAACAUCUUUAUGAUACAUGUUGGACAUUUCUCAAGUAUAUGAUGUACAUUUUUUUAAAUACAUGUUUUGAACACUUUUUUGAAUUAAUGGUGAUAUAUUUUCC
rnacentral:lncRNA from 1 species